CUUUUCUCCACAUUCACCAAGUGGGAGAAACGGUUGAGAGCAGAAGGCAGUUUAACUUUGACAGCCCAAUGAGAGAAUCAGCUAAGAGCUAUUCCAAGGACCAUGUUUUCCAGAACGGAUUAUAUAUUGAAUCAAUGAAGGUGUUUCUCUCCGAGCAGACAGCUCAUCUCCAAGAGCUUCACAGGAAUCUUCUCCUGGUAUUUACACAGAUGGGAGAGGCGGCUCUUCUUGCCCUCCCUGCCUGAUCAUUCGGUCUUCCUCUCCCCAGCCUCUCCUGGCGGUGCACAGCUGGGAAUGAAUGGGAGAUUUCAGCCAGCUCUCCCGGGUGAGAAAAGCCAGAGGCAGGUGAAAAGAUGGGGAUCUGGGUAG
rnacentral:lncRNA from 1 species